rnacentral:rRNA from 1 species
AACGAACGCUGGCGGCAUGCCUAACACAUGCAAGUCGAACGAGACCUUCGGGUCUAGUGGCGCACGGGUGCGUAACGCGUGGGAAUCUACCCUCAGGUUCGGAAUAACUCAGAGAAAUUUGAGCUAAUACCGGAUGAUGACGUAAGUCCAAAGAUUUAUCGCCUGAGGAUGAGCCCGCUUAGAAUUAGGUAGUUGGUGAGGUAAAGGCUCACCAAGCCGACGAUCCUUAGCUGGUCUGAGAGGAUGAUCAGCCACACUGGGACUGAGACACGGCCCAGACUCCUACGGGAGGCAGCAGUGGGGAAUAUUGGACAAUGGGCGAAAGCCUGAUCCAGCAAUGCCGCGUGAGUGAUGAAGGCCUUAGGGUUGUAAAGCUCUUUUACCCGGGAUGAUAAUGACAGUACCGGGAGAAUAAGCUCCGGCUAACUCCGUG